rnacentral:rRNA from 1 species
UAUCGGCUAACUAUGUGCCAGCAGCCGCGGUAAUACAUAGGAUGCAAGCGUUAUCCGGAUUUACUGGGCGUAAAACGAGCGCAGGCGGGUUAAUAAGUUUGGUAUGAAAGACACUUGCUUAACGAGUGUUUGUAUCAAAAACUAUUAACCUAGAGUGUGGUAGAGAGUUCUGGAAUUCCAUGUGGAGCGGUGGAAUGCGUAGAUAUAUGGAAGAACACCAGUGGCGAAGGCGAGAACUUAGGCCAUUACUGACGCUUAGGCUCGAAAGUGUGGGGAGCAAAUAGGAUUAGAUACCCUAGUAGUCCACACCGUAAACGAUGGUUAUUAAAUGUCGGCACGAACGUGUCGGUGUUAAAGCUAACGCAUUAAAUAACCUGCCUGGGUAGUACAUUCGCAAGAAUGAAACUCAAACGGAAUUGACGGGGACCCGCACAAGUGGUGGAGCAUGUUGCUUAAUUUGACGAUACACGUAGAACCUUACCUAGGUUUGACAUCUCCUGCAAAGCUAUGGAAACAUAGUGGAGGUUAACAGGAUGACAGGUGGUGCAUGGUUGUCGUCAGCUCGUGUCGUGAGAUGUUGGGUUAAGUCCCGCAACGAGCGCAACCCCUAUUGCUAGUUAAUUUAUCUAUCAAGACUGCUGUCGCAAGGCAGAGGAAGGUGGGGAUGACGUCAAAUCAUCAUGCCCCUUAUAUCUAGGGCCGCAAACGUGCUACAAUGGUUGAUACAAAGUGUUGCCAAACCGUAAGGUGGAGCUAAUCACAAAAAGUCAAUCUCAGUUCGGAUUGAGGGCUGCAAUUCGCCCUCAUGAAGUUGGAAUCACUAGUAAUCGCGAAUCAGACAUGUCGCGGUGAAUACGUUCUCGGGUCUUGUACACACCGCCCGUCAAACUAUGGGAGCUGGUAAUAUCUAAAAAUGUUAUGUUAACCGCAAGGAGACAGAUAUCUAGGAUAGGACUGGUAACUGGAGUUAAGUCGUAACAAGGUAUCCCUACGAGAACGUGGGGAUG